GUGUGUGAAAGAGAUGGUCUCGGGAGAGGCCAACGCGGGGAGUGACGAGGGGAGGCACAGAUCCCUUAGUGCGGGUUGUGUUCCGAGGCCAGUGUGGGGGAAACCAGACCUAGAACGUUGUAUACGGCUGAUAGGACCAGGUCCACCGCUGCAGCAGGCUGUGAGAGGGGAAGGCACGUUCCUGGCUAAGCAGCGUCCAAAACUCCCGUAAUAGGACCCAGUCUGGUGGACCCGAGAGUAAAAGUGAGAGUGAAAGUGCGCCGCAAGGGAGGAAAUGGGAGGAAAAGCGUCGAAACCAACUCCUUUGGAGUGCAUGAUAAAAAAAUUUUUAAAAAGGAUUUAGAGGUGAUUAUGGGAUGAAACUGGAUGCUCAAAAUUUAAGGACAUACUGUGAAUUAGAAUAGCCCUCUUUUAGUGUUGGACGACUGGCCGAAGGCACUACAGAGAAAUUGGCCGUGUGUUUUAAGGUGGUGACUAGGGUUGGAGGACCACCAGGGCAUUCAGACCUAGUCUUUGUAUUGAUUCAUGGCUAAAUGAAUGCAGCCCUGCCUAGCAGUUUAUUGUAGAACGCUCGCAGCUCAUGGCGAGAGACACCAGCUGUGCUGGCAGCUACAGAGUUAAAGGGAAAGUCACAGAGCCUUGUAACUCCACAAGUAAAAAGUGAAAAGUAAAAGCCAAAAGUGAAAGUAAAAAUCAGCUGUGCCAGGAACUAUGGAGACAAAAGAAAAGUCUCAGGAAAGAGAAAACUGGUUUUGCAAGAACCACAGAAGGGAAUAAAGACCCCUCCUCCCUACAUUCCAAUCUACCCCCCUUUACCAAGGCUAACUGCCCCUAAGGAGUUAAGUUCAAAGAAAUACAGGCUCCCAGAAGAAAAAAUCAGAGCUCCAGGAAGUUAAAGUGAAAGGUUACAAAAAAGUCAGGCAGGCCGUCUCAGGUCUGGCCGUGCCCAAGUUAUGCUUAUGCCUCUUAAGAGGACAAAAGGACCCCCACUAGGACCCAGAUGAUGCAGUCCAGCUUCAACCCCUACAAAAUUGCCGAGAAGCACUUCUGCCAAAGGCUAAAGGAUGGUAAAAGAAAAAGGUAACCAAUAUAUAUAUAUAUAUAAAAAAAAUCUCAGAGGUGCUCCAGGGUGCAGAUAAAAGCACCAACCAGUUUUAAAAAAGACUUUGUGGGCAUUUUGGUUGUACACUCCGUUUAACUCUAAGGCUGCUGAAAAUCAGCACGUGGUGGAUACAGCAUUUGUAAGACAGGCCCAAGGAGAUAUCCGGCAUACAUUGCAGAAGUUAGAAGCUCCGUAGGCGUGAAUGCUACUCAGCUUAUUAAGGUGGCUACCAAGGUGUACAUUAACUGAGAUCAAGAGGCAAAAAAGAAAGCUGAUCGGAGGCUUAAGAAAGGCUAAUUUACUAGCAGCAGCCCUUACAGGAAGAGAAGCUGGCUUUGCAAGGAGGCAGGGACGUGGGCGUGAACACAGUCGUGGAAAAGGCUAGUCUGGACAGGAGUUUGAAAGCCGGCCGAGGCUAGAGAGAGAUUAAUGCGGACAGUGCAAAAGGAAAGGACACUAGAAGGAUAAAUGUCAAAAGAAUAAGGAAAAUGGUCAAUGGUCUAACACCCGAGUGCAGCGUUCGGUUGCUAGUUGUCAUGCUUCAAAGGCAGAUCCUGAUCUGAUCGGCUUAGCGGGGGCUGAGAAUUUAGAGGACUGAUAGACCGGGCUCCAUCCUUUUAGGCCCCGGGGAGCCUAUAGUCUCUAUGGAAGUAGGGGGCCAAUUAAUGGAUUUUUUGGUCGAUACUGGUGCUGAUUUCUCUGUGGUAACUCACCAAUUAGUCCCCCCACAAAGAACUGUGCUACUAUCGUAGGGGCUACUGGCGCCAAAGAAAAGAGGCCUUUUUGCAAAUCCAGGAGAUGUAUUAUUGGGGGACAAAAAGUGCAGCAUGAGUUUCUAUAUAUGCCAAAUUAUCCAGUGCCCUUGUUGAAAAGAGACUUACUCCAGAAACUGCAGGCACAAAUCUCCUUUACACCUAAAGAGAAUAUGACACUAGAGUUUAGAAAGUUUAAGGCAAUGGUUUUGACUAUAACUGUCUCAAGAACUGAGAAAUGGCGGCUCUAUAAACUGUGUGCCAGAAGGCCACUGGAGGCGGACCUACACAAUAUGCGGGGAAUGCUUUUCAAGGUACCAGGUGUAUGGACCGAGCACAACCUCCCUGGACUUGCUGCAAACAGACCCCCGGUCGUAGUAGAGCUUAGCCCUUAUGUUCCCCGGUACAAGUCCGUCAAUACCCACUACCCAGAGAGGCAAUUGAUGGCAUAACGAAACAUUUAAAUCGGCUCUGUGAACAUAGGAUUAUACUGAAAUGCAAGUCCUCCUGGAAUACUCCUCUGCUGCCUGUGCAGAAGCCAAAUGGUGAAUACAGGCCAGUUUACAAAGUGUCCAAGGACAAGGCAAAAGUCUUUUUUCAGCAGGUUGGAUAGCUAAGAUUCAUGGUAUCCCAAGGCCAGUGCAGGCUUGGAAGUGCACGCAAGGAGGCUGUAGGUGCAUUGCCCACCCACAGGUCAGGGAAUUUCUAGGUGCGGCGGGAUUCUGCCGAAUCUGGAUUCCAAACUUCUCCCUUAUAGCAAAGCCCUUAUAUGAGGCUACCAAAGGAAAAGAAAGAGAGCCCCUCCUAUGGGAAAAGGAAUAGGAAAAGGCCUUCAAAGAUAUAAACGAAGCUCUCAUCCAAGCCCCGGCGCUAAGGUUGCCAGAUAUUAAAAAGCCCUUUUUUUGUAUGUGAAUAAACGAAAGGGAAUGGCAGUCGGAGUCGUAACUCAGCUGGGCUCUUAGCAUCGGCCGGUAACACACUUAUCCAAGAGACUGGACUUGGUGGCCUUAGGUUGGCCCCACUGCCUCAGGGCGUUGGCAGCUACUGCAAUCCUUCUAAAAGAUGCCAACAAGCUAGCCCUAGGUCAGAAGUUAAUAGUUCGGGUGCCACAUGCUGUAGUCACCUUAAUGGAGCAAAGAGGACAUCAUUGGCUGUCCAACUCUAGAAUGCUAAAGUAUCAAGGGCUUCUGUGUAAAAAUCCCCAGAUAACACUGGAGACUGUAAAUACCUUGAACCCAGUUCCCCUGCUGCCUGUGGAGGAACCCGACUGGAAGGACGGUAGGUUGCCUCGCUGCUGGCAGGACCUUCUCCACUGUUGCCUAAAUACGGUGGAUGAAGUGUUCUCGAGCCAGGAAGAUCUCAGAGAUAUCCUCCUUGGAGAGCCCAGAUGUUGAAUACUUCACUGAUGGUAGCAGUUUCAUAACAGAUGGGGUACGAUAUGCAGGGUAUGCCGUAGUGACCCAACACUCAGCAGUUGAGGCUCAAGCCUUACCUUCUGGGACUUCUGCUCAGAAGGCUGAAUUAAUAGCAUUAACCGGAUCACUGUUAUUGGACAAGGGGAAGAAAGUAAAUAUAUAUACUGAUUCAAGAUAUGCUUUUGCAACCCUGCAUGCCCAUGGGGCAACAUGCAAAGAGAGAGGACUUUUGACUACUAAAGGAAAAAAAAUUAAAAAAAAAAAUAAAGAGGAAAUUUUGCAAUUAUUAGAAGCCAUAUAGGCUCCAGAAAAGGUGGCUGUCAUUCAUUGCAAAGAACACUAAAUGGAAAAAAGCUAUGAAUCACAGGGCAACAGAAAGGCAGACCUAGAGGCUCUGCGGGCAUCAAUGAGCAAGGCUUUACCUGAAGAAAGACCUAUAGCAACGCCUCUCCUUAUAGAGCCCCCUUUGCCGGAGGUACCCAAUUACUCUUCAAGUGAAACAGCUUGGUUUGGUCAGGAAACAAAAAAAUAUAUUAAAGGUGGAUGGUGGCUCUGACAGGAGGCUAGCCAUCCCAGAGACAAUAGCCCCAAGGUUUGUGAAGCAGAUCCAUCAAGGAACACACAUUGGAAGGACAGCUCUAGAGACUUGGAUAGGUUGGCAUCUCUAUGUGCCAUGGCUGUCUGCCAUGACCCGUGCUGUUUGUGAACAAUGUCUAUCUUGUGCCCGGAGUAAUCCAAAACGAGGACCUACUCAACCUCCAGGAAUUCAGGAAGUAGGAGCUGUGCCUUGUGAGAACCUGCUUAUAGACUUUACCGAGUUGCCUUGAGCAGGAGGUUACCAGUAUAUGCUAGUGUUUGUUUGCACCUACUCGGGGUGGGUUGAGGCCUUCCCCACCGGAACUAAAAAGACACAAGAGGUGACAAAGGUGCUACUGAAAGACAUCAUACCAAGGUUUGGGUCGCCUCUAACCCUAGGAUCAGACGACGGUCCUGCAUUUGUGGCAGAAGUUGUACAACAGCUAACUCAACUUUUAAAGAUCAAAUGGAAACUGCACACAGCCUAUCGACCACAGAGUUCAGGGAAGGUGGAACGCAUGAACCAGACACUCAAACAGCUACUGAAGAAAUUGUGUCAAAAAAACUCAUCAAAAGUAGGAUCAGGUCUUGCCCAUGGUCCUCCUCCAAGUCAGGUGCACCUCCACCAAACAAACUGGGUAUUCGCCCUCUGAGAUUUUUUUCGGCCGGCCACCCACCCACCCAUCAUAAGACAGAUUAAAGGUAAUCUCUGUAAACUAGAAGAACUAACUUUAAGAAGGCAAAUGCAGACUUUAAGUAUGGCCAUGUAAGAAUGCAUGACUGGGUAUAGAAAAAUGCCUAUAAGUCUAACAGACCCAGUACACCCUUUCAAACCUAAGGAUUUUGUUUAAGCUAAAAUAAUGGAAUCCAACCAUUCUGGGACCCAUACAGGAUAGGUCUCGUAUUGUAAUCAUGUCUGCUUCCACUGCUGUUAAAGUUGCAGGUGUCACACCUUGGAUUCACCAUAGCCAGCAGAAACCAGUGGCAACAGAGACUCCCGAUGAUAACCAGUGGAUUAACCAACAAGACCCAGAUCGCCCCACCUGAAUAGUCCUACGGCGAAACCCAACCACCGGUAAGAAGGACAACUGGCCUGCUCUGACCACACCGGAGGAUGGUCAGUCUAUGCACGGCUGAAGCUUGAGGAUCCUGCAAGCUCUGCUCUAGUCACAUCCUGGAAGCUGACUAGUCUACGCACAGUCGAAGCUAAGAGGACCAUAUCCGGAUAAGUUAAAGAAAGAGGGACCAAUUAACUUCACCUUUUCCUAAACUUGAAAAGACAAACCAAAUUCUGCCCUUCAUCUCCAAUGUUUGAAAGAUCAGAGGUUCCUGUCAAGAACAUGGGUCCGUGUGUGGUUCACUCUGAAGCAUCUGUCUUCCUGUGAAAGAGCUUGCGGCUGGUCUGCAAAGCUAGGAAUGGUGACCAGCAGUGGUAGAGGGCACCGUGUCCUGGAGGCGACGGCCACACGCAUGUCUGUGCAUUCACACAUGCCAUGUAUUCCCAGGCAUAAACGGUGUGUAAUAUCAUUGCCCUUUGUUACACUUUUGGCUGCAGCUCAUGGGUCACCAAUGGAUGCCCAUACAGAGAGCCGAUUUAGGUGAGCCCAGCAAAGCCAAGCAUACUUCAGCGUCUCCAUAGAAACUUCCUGUCUGUAUCAUAGCCACACGCCUGCAUGCGCACACACGCCUCGGGCCUCAUGUCUCCACACCCUUGCCUGCCUCCAACCCCCAUGUGCUCCCAGCGCCAGGCCUCCAUUCUGCAGCCUCAGAGAGUGGUGUCUGAGAGGAGAAAUGGAUCAGGAGCAGGCCCCUGGACUCUGGAAAGGUCUGCUGCCCAACAGCCCAUGGUGACAUCAGAGGGACAGAAAUGCCCACAGGUGGGGAGUCUUCAGCCCCCGACUGCCCAGCUGGCCCCCACUGUGGCUCAGAGAUCUCACCUUCAGGGCUCUGCGGU